AGAGUUUGAUCAUGGCUCAGAACGAACGCUGGCGGCGUGCCUGAGACAUGCAAGUCGUGGGAGAAAGUCGGGGCAACCCGGCGAGUAAACCGGCGCACGGGUGAGUAACACGUGGACAACCUGCCCUGGAGACUGGGAUAACCCGUCGAAAGACGGGCUAAUACCGGAUAAGACCACGAGGGGUUUGCCCCUUGGGGUAAAAGGUGGCCUCUACUCCUGCAAGCUAAUACUUCAGGAAGGGUCCGCGUCCUAUCAGCUAGUUGGUGAGGUGACGGCUCACCAAGGCGAAGACGGGUAGCUGGUCUGAGAGGAUGGUCAGCCACACUGGGACUGAGACACGGCCCAGAGUCCUACGGGAUGCAGCAGUCAGGAAUAUUGCGCAAUGGAGGAAACUCUGACGCAGCGACGCCGCGUGGGUGAUGAAGGCCUUCGGGUCGUAAAGCCCUGUCGGAGGGGAAGAAAAGCUUGCUGGCUAAUAUCCAGCAGGCCUUUGACGGUACCCUCAAAGGAAGCACCGGCUAACUCCGUGCCAGCAGCCGCGGUAAGACGGAGGGUGCAAGCGUUGUUCGGAUUGACUGGGCGUAAAGGGCGUGUAGGCGGUUGGUCAAGUCCGAUGUGAAAGCCCGAGGCUUAGCCUCGGAAGUGCAUCGGAAACUAGCCAGCUGGAGCGCGAUAGAGGAGGGUAGAAUUCCUGGUGUAGCGGUGAAAUGCGUAGAUAUCAGGAGGAAUACCGGCGGCGAAAGGCGGCCCUCUGGAUCGUUGCUGACGCUGAGACGCGAAAGCGUGGGGAGCAAACAGGAUUAGAUACCCUGGNAGUCCACGCUGUAAACGAUGGGUACUAGGUGUUCGGGGUAUUGACCCCCUGAGUGCCGCAGUUAACGCAUUAAGUACCCCNNNGGGGNCUACGNCNNCANGGNNAAACUCAANGANNACGGGGGCCNGCANAGCNGGNGNNNCAUGCU
rnacentral:rRNA from 1 species